rnacentral:rRNA from 1 species
GACGAACGCUGGCGGCGUGCCUAAUACAUGCAAGUUGAGCGAUGAAGCUUGGUGCUUGCACCAAUUUGAAGAGCAGCGAACGGGUGAGUAACGCGUGGGGAAUCUGCCUCUGAGCGGGGGACAACAUCUGGAAACGAAUGCUAAUACCGCAUAACAACUUUAAACAUAAGUUUUAAGUUUGAAAGAUGCAAUUGCAUCACUCAAAGAUGAUCCCGCGUUGUAUUAGCUAGUUGGUGAGGUAAAGGCUCACCAAGGCGAUGAUACAUAGCCGACCUGAGAGGGUGGUCGGCCACAUUGGGAAUGGGGCACGGCCCAAGCUCCUACGGGGAGCAGCAAUAGGGGAUCUUUGGCAAAGGACGGAAGGCUGACCGAACAACGCCGCGUGAGUGGAGGAGGUUUUCGGGUCGUAAAACUCUGUUUGUAGAGAAGAAAGUUGGUGAGAGUGGAAAGCUCAUCAAGUGACGGUAACUACACAGAAAGGGACGGCUAACUACGUG